CUCCUAAUUUAGCUCUUCCCCUAACCAGGAGAAACUUCUGGCCCCAGACUCAGGUCUCUUCUUCUCCUUAUACUCAAGCCAAGACACUGUUCUUCCCUCCUGCAGCUAUUGUUCACAAUUAAGAAGAUACAUAAAUAAAAAGCUGUUAAAAGAGGUCAAAGAAAGUAAAGAGUUAGGGGAGAAGAAGGAAGCCAAAGAAAGCACUUAAUAAAGAUGUGGUCUAGCCAAAUUAGGAUACAAUGGUAUUCAUUCCUGGACCGUUUAGAUUAUUCAAAAAUGUUAAGGGAUCAUCAUCCAACAACCCUCUUAUGGAACUCACCUUGAUCCCUAACAAACAGGAUCCAGGGCUGCCUUCUAUAUAUUAAUACCUAUAAUUUGGGCCCUUAUUUCCAUCUUUCUUCCACUGGUUUUAUAUUCUAAAUAUGACUCUGGUCUUUAUACUGUUAAAGUUUUUAAUGUGUCUGAAAUGCUAGAACAUAAAGCAUAACCCACAUUCA
rnacentral:lncRNA from 1 species